rnacentral:tRNA from 1 species
GGGGUUGUGACUCAGUGGCCGAGUGCUUGCCUAGCAAGUAUGAGGCACUGGGUUCGAUUCUCAGCACCA